rfam:Aedes albopictus isolate Foshan contig83748, whole genome shotgun sequence.
UAGCCUAGUGGUGAAGGCUAUGGAUCGCUAAUCCGGAGACGGCGGGUUCAAUUCUCGU